ACUGACAGCCAUGGUUACCGCGGCUGCUGGCACGGAGUUAGCCGGUGCUUCUUCUGUGAGUGAUGUCCUUCCUGCCGGUUAUUGACCCGCAGGCCUUCUUCCUCACUGAAAGUGCUUUACAACCCGAAGGCCUUCUUCACACACGCGGCAUGGCUGGAUCAGGGUUGCCCCAUUGUCCAAUAUUCCCCACUGCUGCCUCCCGUAGGAGUCUGGGCCGUGUCUCAGUCCCAGUGUGGCUGAUCAUCCUCUCAGACCAGCUACGGAUCGUCGCCUUGGUGAGCCGUUACCUCACCAACCAGCUAAUCCGACAUAGGCUCAU
rnacentral:rRNA from 1 species